rnacentral:rRNA from 1 species
AUUACCGCGGCUGCUGGCACGUAGUUAGCCGGGGCUUCCUCCUCAAGUACCGUCAUUAUCUUCCUUGAGGACAGAGCUUUACGACCCGAAGGCCUUCAUCGCUCACGCGGCGUUGCUGCAUCAGGCUUUCGCCCAUUGUGCAAUAUUCCCCACUGCUGCCUCCCGUAGG